rnacentral:rRNA from 1 species
GACGAACGUUGGCGGCGUGCUUAAUACAUGCCAGUCAACUGAAGCAGUGGUAGCAAUAUCGCUGUGGAGGUGGCGCACGGGUGAGUAACACGUAGGUAAUCUGCCUUCAGGUCUGGCAUAACUCCGGGAAACCGGGGCUAAUAGCAGAUGAUGCAGCGGCUCGACAUCGAGACAGUUGUUAAAGCUAUGGCGCCUGAAGAUGAGCCUGCGUCUGAUUAGCUAGUUGGCGGGGUAACGGCCCACCAAGGCAACGAUCAGUAGCUGGUCUGAGAGGAUGAUCAGCCACACUGGAACUGAGACACGGUCCAGACUACUACGGGAGGCAGCAGUAAGGAAUAUUGCUCAAUGGGAGAAAUCCUGAAGCAGCAACGCCGCGUGAGGGACGAAGGGCUUUUGCUUGUAAACCUCUGUAGGGAGAGAAAAAAAUCCCAAUCUUUGGGACAUGAUGGUAUCUAAAAAGUAAGCCCCGGCUAACUACGUG